rnacentral:rRNA from 1 species
UGGGGAAUAUUGCACAAUGGGCGCAAGCCUGAUGCAGCCAUGCCGCGUGUAUGAAGAAGGCCUUCGGGUUGUAAAGUACUUUCAGCGGGGAGGAAGGUGUUGAGGUUAAUAACCUCAGCAAUUGACGUUACCCGCAGAAGAAGCACCGGCUAACUCCGUGCCAGCAGCCGCGGUAAUACGGAGGGUGCAAGCGUUAAUCGGAAUUACUGGGCGUAAAGCGCACGCAGGCGGUCUGUCAAGUCGGAUGUGAAAUCCCCGGGCUCAACCUGGGAACUGCAUUCGAAACUGGCAGGCUAGAGUCUUGUAGAGGGGGGUAGAAUUCCAGGCGUAGCGGUGAAAUGCGUAGAGAUCUGGAGGAAUACCGGUGGCGAAGGCGGCCCCCUGGACAAAGACUGACGCUCAGGUGCGAAAGCGUGGGGAGCAAACA